AUACGGAGGGUGCAAGCGUUAUCCGGAAUCAUUGGGUUUAAAGGGUCCGUAGGCGGGCUAAUAAGUCAGGGGUGAAAUCCCACAGCUUAACGGUGGAACUGCCCUUGAUACUGUUGGUCUUGAGUUACAGUGAAGUGGUUAGAAUGUGUAGUGUAGCGGUGAAAUGCAUAGAGAUUACACAGAAUACCGAUUGCGAAGGCAGAUCACUAACUGUAUACUGACGCUAAUGGACGAAAGCGUGGGGAGCGAACAGGAUUAGAAACCCCUGUAGUCC
rnacentral:rRNA from 1 species